UGGGUAAUGGGUAGCCAGAGAGACAAACAUUUUACUGUGUGGGCAUAGGUUUUCUCCAGCCGUGCAGAGGGGAUUUAAGAAGCUAUCUGGGCCAUAUCAGUCAGUACUCUCAGCAUUUCAGUAGGUGCUCGGCGUGGGAAGCAUUUCAGUAGGUGCUCGGCGUGGGAAUCAGAACACGUGAGACAGUGCUGUAUGUACAUGGGUGUUCCACGUGGUGGACUUGGCAAUUAUUUUGUGAGCCUAGUGUUGCCAUUGGUUUGAAGUCGGCGUUACCCAGUAUCGUUGUUCAGUGAGAGACCUGUGAGUCCGGGACUGGAAGCGGAGGGGCUGUUCGAGCUGUAUGGAGGCCUGGUUGUGCCAAGUGUGACGUGGCGUUAAAUUGAAUUGUGCUGAGUAGCCAAACUUUCAUAUUGUGUUUCAGUAAACUAACAUUUUAUCAAAAAGGAAUUUGAGAAAUUUGUAUAAAACGUAAUUUACUACUGUUUAACUUUUUCUGUAGUUAGCGGAAUUAGCGACUAUUCGAACCAUUAUGUAAUACAUUUAUUACCAGUUAUAUUUUCAGCCUGGAAUGACAUACUUGUUCUAUUAACUAUUGAAUUGUCUUGACAGUUAUACGUUAUAUUGAUUGUCAAUAUUGCCAGGUUUAUAUUAUACCAAUUUAUAUUUCUUUCUCGGUGAGAGAGUAUGGGUGUGUGAAUGUGAAAGUGUGAUUUCUUUGUUUUUCAAACAUCUCUAUAUUUCUUAUCUUAUUGCUAAAUAAAUUUUCUUUUUAUUUAU